rnacentral:rRNA from 1 species
UGAGAAUGCUGGCAUAAGUAGCGAAAUUGGAGUGCGAAUCUCCAACACCGAACACCCAAGGUUUCCAACGCCACGUUCGUCGACGUUGGGUUAGGCGGCCCUAAGGCGAGGCCAUUUGGCGUAGCCGAUGGAUUACCGGUUAAUAUUCCGGUUCUUGUACAGGAUCGUUAUGAGUUGGGGCGUGACGUAAUUGGCUAUUCCGAGCGGUGUGAUGAAGUUACACACGUUCAAGCAGUAAGUCAGUCUUGAUAGGCAAAUCCGUCAAGGCGUUUACACGAGCUGUUAAUACAAGGCUGCGGGCAACCAAGGCCGAGUCGGAUGAAGUCAGUUACCGAGAAAAGCGUCGCAACCAGAGUCUGUGCAAUCCGUACCGAUAACCGACACUGGUGGGUGGGUCGAGAAGACCAAGGUGAGCGAGAGAACCUCUUUUAAGGAACUCGGCAAAUUAGCUGGGCGUAACUUUGGGAGAUGCCCUGCCUGUAGCAAUACAGGCCGCAGCAAAUGAUUGGGGAGGGACUGUUUAACAAAAACACAGGUCUAUGCAAACUCGAAAGAGGAAGUAUACGGGCUGAAACCUGCCCAGUGCCGGAAGGUUAAUUGCGGGAGUGAUCUGUCUUCGGACAGCUAGCUUCCAAUCGAAGCCCCGGUGAACGGCAGCAGUAACUAUAACUGUUCUAUGGUAGCGAAGUUCCUUGUCGGGUAAGUUCCGACGCGCACGAAAGGCUCAACGACUUGAAGACUGUCUUGACCAUCGACUCGGCGAAUAUUGCAAUGGCUGUGAAGAUGCGGCCUACCUACACCAGGACAAAAAGACCCCGUGGAGCUUUACUGUAGUCUGACAUUGAACUAUUUAUUUUCACUGUCGAGAAUAGGCGGGAGCGACCAGCAUUAGCUGGUUGCGUCAGUGGAAUACCGCUCUUGAGAAUAAGUAUUUCUAACCUAUGGUCGUAACACGACCAGGGACAGUGUUUGACGGGCAGUUUCGCUGGGGAGGCGGUUUGCUAAAAGGUACCGCAAACGUACAAAGGUAUGCUUAUCUCGGAUGGAAAUCGGGAUGGACGUGUAAUGGCACGAAGCAUGCUUGACUGUGACACUUACAAGUGGAGCAGGGACGAAAGUCGGUCAUAGUGAUCCUCCGAUGUGUUGUGGAACACUCGGAGCUUAACGGAUAAAAGCUACCCCGGGGAUAACAGGCUGAUCGCAUCCAAGAGUUCAUAUCGACGAUGCGGUUUGGCACCUCGAUGUCGGCUCAGCGUAUCCUGGGGCUGGAGAAGGUCCCAAGGGUUGGUCUGUUCGCCCAUUAAAACGCUACGUGAGCUGGGUUCAGAGCGUCGUGAGACAGCUCGGUCUCUAUCCGGUGUAGGCGUUGGAUUCUUGAGGGAAGUUGCCCCUAGUACGAGAGGACCGGGGUGAGGCAAUCCCUAGUGUGCCAGUUGUUCCGCCAGGAGCAUUGCUGGGUAGCUACAUUGUUUUGGGAUAACCGCUGAAAGCAUCUCAAGCGGGAAGCCCUACCCAAGAUUAGGAAUCCAUUCCCAACGCAAGUUGGGAGGAGAUCCCUGGAAGACUACCAGGUAUAACGACUGCAGGUGUACGCGCAGCAAUGUGUUAAGCCAAGCAGAUACGUAUCGAUCAAUAAAAGACAGUGC